UCUGAUUAGCUAGUUGGUGAGGUAAAGGCUCACCAAGGCGACGAUCAGUAGCUGGUCUGAGAGGAUGAUCCGCCACACUGGGACUGAGACACGGCCCAGACUCCUACGGGAGGCAGCAGUGGGGAAUUUUGGACAAUGGGGGCAACCCUGAUCCAGCCAUUCCGCGUGAGUGAAGAAGGCCUUCGGGUUGUAAAGCUCUUUCAGCUGGAACGAAACGGUACGCGCUAACAUCGUGUGCUAAUGACGGUACCGGCAGAAGAAGCACCGGCUAACUACGUGCCAGCAGCCGCGGUAAUACGUAGGGUGCGAGCGUUAAUCGGAAUUACUGGGCGUAAAGCGUGCGCAGGCGGAUUGUUAAGCAAGACGUGAAAUCCCCGGGCUUAACCUGGGAAUGGCGUUUUGAACUGGCAGUCUAGAGUGCGUCAGAGGGGGGUGGAAUUCCACGUGUAGCAGUGAAAUGCGUAGAGAUGUGGAGGAACACCGAUGGCGAACGCAGCCCCCUGGGAUGACACUGACGCUCAUGUACGAAAGCGUGGGUAGCAAACA
rnacentral:rRNA from 1 species